UAGCGUAUAUUAAAGUUGUUGCGGUUAAAAAGCUCGUAGUUGGAUUUCUGUUGAGGGACGUCGGUCCGCACUAUGUGCGUGUAUCUGACUGUGCCUCGGCAUCCUCUCGAAUAUCGGUCUGCGCUUCAUUGCGUGGGUCGGACUUCGGGACUUUUACUUUGAGGAAAUUAGAGUGUUCACGGCAGGCAAGCGCCCUGAAUAUAUUAGCAUGGAAUAAUGAUAUAGGAUCUUGGUCCUAUUUUGUUGGUUUCUAGGGCUAAGAUAAUGAUUAAUAGGGACAAUUGGGGGCAUUCGUAUUAACGCGUC
rnacentral:rRNA from 1 species